GAAAUGCGAUACGCAAUGCGAAUUGCAGAAUUCCGCGAAUCAUCAGAUUCUUGAACGCAACUGGCGCUGGAGGGAUAUCCUUCCAGCAUGUCUGUUUCAGUGUCUGAAAACAUCCUAAAUCAUUCUAAUGUGUUUGACAAGGAAUAAAUUAUAUAUAUCAAUUGAUAUUAUAUUUAUGAUCCAAGUCUUACAUGAAAGAUGUAUGUGUGGGUCUUUGGAUCCAUCGAAUUGGUCAUCGAUUUCUUCGGUGAUGUCGAUUGGAUAUUCACCAAUUACUCGUAUACACAUAGAAUAAACAUAUAUAUAUUUAUUUAUAGAUAUAUAUAACAUACUUUAUCAUCUGCAUCUGAAAUCAGGCAAGAAAACCCGCUGAACUUAAGC
rnacentral:misc_RNA from 1 species